rnacentral:rRNA from 1 species
AGAGUUUGAUCCUGGCUCAGAAUCAACGCUGGCGGCGCGCCUAACACAUGCAAGUCGCACGAGAAAGCGGGAGCAAUCUCGCAAGUAAAGUGGCGUACGGGUGAGUAACACGUGGAUCAUCUGCCCUGGAGUGGGGAAUAACGCUGGGAAACCGGCGCUAAUACCGCAUAUUCCCGAGAGGGGAAAGCAGCAAUGCGCUCGAGGAGGAGUCCGCGGCCGAUUAGCUAGUUGGCAGGGUAAAAGCCUACCAAGGCUAUGAUCGGUAGCCGGCCUGAGAGGGCACACGGCCACACUGGCACUGAAACACGGGCCAGACUCCUACGGGAGGCAGCAGUGGGGAAUCUUGCACAAUGGGGGAAACCCUGAUGCAGCGACGCCGCGUGAGCGAUGAAGCCCUUCGGGGUGUAAAGCUCUUUCGGCAGGGAAGAUUAUGACGGUACCUGCAGAAGCAGCUGCGGCUAACUACGUGCCAGCAGCCGCGGUAAUACGUAGGCAGCAAGCGUUGUUCGGAGUUACUGGGCGUAAAGGGUGUGUAGGUGGCGCGCUAAGUUCCGUGUGAAAUCUCCCGGCUCAACCGGGAGGGUGCGCGGAAAACUGGCGGGCUAGAGUACGGGAUGGGAGAGUAGAAUUCCUGGUGUAGCGGUGAAAUGCGUAGAUAUCAGGAGGAAUACCGGUGGUGUAGACGGCUCUCUGGACCGUAACUGACACUGAAACACGAAAGCGUGGGUAGCAAACAGGAUUAGAUACCCUGGUAGUCCACGCCCUAAACGAUGCAUAUUUGGUGUAGGUCAUUCAGUUGAUCUGUGCCGGAGCUAACGCGUUAAAUAUGCCGCCUGGGGAGUACAGUCGCAAGGCUGAAACUCAAAGGAAUUGACGGGGGCCCGCACAAGCGGUGGAGCAUGUGGUUCAAUUCGACGCAACGCGAGACUUACUGGGCUCGAACGCUAGUCACGAUCGUGAACACGUACUCCGCAGGGGUCUAGUCAGUGCUGCAUGCUGUCGUCAGCUCUGUCUGAAAUGUGGUAGUCCGCACGAGGCAACUUGUCUGGUUGCAUGCAAGGCGAACUCGCAGAACGCCCAGCUAACUGGGAAAAGUGGGAUACUAGUCUAGGCCUAUGUCAAGUUACAACACGGUCUCAAUGGCGCGGUCCAG